GCCCUCCCCCGUGACGCACGGGUUCUGUGUGGAAGCCCACUGCCUUCUGCCUGUUACCUGCCCGCUAUCCGGCAGAACUCCAAGGACGGACUCCCGUCGCGGUGGUCGUGAUACUCCAAGGACGGUUUCGUGUCACCGCUUCCGCCAUACAAAAGUACACCCAAAAUCGCCAUAGCGUCACUAGGGCCGGUCCUCUGCUGCUGUAGUCCGCAUUAACGGCAGUAAGUACGCACCUCUGAGUGGAUUUUUUCUAGCAAUACGCAAACCUUGGAAAGGAGAGUAGCUCUCAGAACUACAGGAACGCUGUUGUUGAAAAUGCAGUCACUGCUUUGCGUGCUGAAGUUCUGAGAACUGCUCCCGUCGCUCUGAAUGUGUUAAAAUACUGAAAGCACUACCGUUCAGCAGCGUGAUCUACAGUCGGCCGAACCCCAUCCCAAAGUCUGUGGUGGUCCGAAGCAGAGAGGGGACUUGGUGGGAAGAAAAACACAGAGCCACGUUUGAGAAAACAUUCUUAAAAGAACAACGAAACAAAAGUGCUUCAAAACAACAAGAUACAAGAGUUAACCCCAUCCCAGACUGGAGUCACCCAAUAUAUUUAAUGGGGGUGGGGUAUAGUGUUUUGUCUUCACCUUUGGUUUUUGUCAUUUUAAACCAGAUUUCUGAAAAAUACUGACUAGCCCUUCACAUGAAUAAAAAAUUGAAUCUUGUGGCAAAAA